rnacentral:rRNA from 1 species
UACGAAGGACCCGAGCGUUAUCCGGAUUUAUUGGGUUUAAAGGGUGCGUAGGCGGACAUGCAAGUCAGUGGUGAAAUCUCCCUGCUCAACAGGGAAACUGCCAUUGAAACUAUGUGUCUUGAGUACAUUUGAGGCGGGUGGAAUGUGUCAUGUAGAGGUGAAAUUCUUAGAUAUGACACAGAACACCAAUUGCGAAGGCAGCUCGCUAAACUGUAACUGACGCUGAGGCACGAAAGCGUGGGGAUCAAACAGG